rnacentral:tRNA from 1 species
GCCACGGUAGCCGAGCGGGUUGAGGCGAUACCUGCAAAGCUAAAAUGCAUUGUGGUACUGUACUGGGUUCGAUUCCCGGUCUUGGCC